ensembl:snoRNA
CAUUCCUAGAGGCAGUGCAGGCAUGACUGCUGAGUCAUAUGUGUGUCAGCACCUGGCAGAGAAGAGAGAGGCUGUGUCUACACUCAGUGUUCUGACCUGUAAACAUCUGAAUGAUUAGUAGCCUAACAUU